rnacentral:lncRNA from 1 species
AGUCGCCUCAGCCGCGGUGUGAGGGAGCGGGAGUCUUCCUUAGCUUCUCCGCCAUGGGUGUCGCUUCGUAGCCGGGCUGCUCCGGGAAAGGCCUCGUACAGCACGCAUUCACCAGAAUCCUGUCAGCUUUCCUCUUCUCAUCCAGACGCCUGGCCAGGAUCCUCGAUAAGACCGUGACCCCCAACUUGGACACCCCAUAAGGUUCCCAGAUGAUGUGACAGCUACUGGUCUCCAGCCACACCUUGAGAACACUUGGCUUUGACUACCACUUCUUAAACUUAAAGGAAAACUAGACAAUCCACCAGCCCAGGAGGGGACAAGCAGGCUUAUUCCUCCUCCUCGUCAUCUCUGGCUCCAGCCCCACCCUGGCCCUUGCUGGCAUUCUUCCUCUUCACGUGGCUGGGGUUGGCCACCCCAAUAGGGAAGCAGAGGGAGAAGUCAAUGUGCUUCUGGGAAUCCAGGCGGACAGUGAAGAACAGGAUAUUUACCACCUGCUCACGGACACGGAUAUGACACUGUUGAAUCAGCACAUGAGCGUGGCGGAUGGACUUAGCCAAGCCAAGCUUGAAGACCUGGGUCUGUAGGA